UUGGAGGGCAAGUCUGGUGCCAGCAGCCGCGGUAAUUCCAGCUCCAAUAGCGUAUAUUAAAGUUGUUGCAGUUAAAAAGCUCGUAGUUGAAUUUCGGGAUCGACGGGUCGGUCGCGCCUCUGGUGUGUACUGGCCCUGUCGAUUUCUCCCUUCUGACGAACCACGAUGUCAUUAAUUUGGUGUCGUGGGGAAUCAGGACUGUUACUUUGAAAAAAUUAGAGUGUUUAAAGCAAGCAUUCGCUUGAAUACAUUAGCAUGGAAUAAUGAAAUAGGACGUUUGAUCUUAUUUUGUUGGUUUCUAAGAUCGGCGUAAUGAUUAAUAGGGAUAGUUGGGGGCAUUAGUAUUCAAUUGUCAGAGGUGAAAUUCUUGGAUUUAUUGAAGACUAACUACUGCGAAAGCAUUUGCCAAGGAUGUUUUCAUUAAUCAAGAACGAAAGUUAGGGGAUCGAAGACGAUCAGAUACCGUCGUAGUCUUAACCAUAAACUAUGCCGACUAGGGAUCGGAUGAUGUUAAUUUUUUAAUGACUCAUUCGGCGCCUUACGGGAAAC
rnacentral:rRNA from 1 species